ensembl:lncRNA
GAUGGAAGAGAUCUCAUCUUGUCUCCAGUCGCUUAUGAUUACUUUGAGUCAAACACAAUCUGCCAGGGAAAAUGGCCUGUUCAAGAAAAUGCCACUUCAGAGAAAAAUCAGAAUAAAGAAGGGGGUUUCCAAGGAGCGUUUUGUUUUCCUGAAAAGAGAAAGAGACAAUGAAUGGGAACAAGAAAGAAAGAGACUAAAGGUGGGAGUAAGCCUAGGAGCUCAGUUGGAUCCGUCUGCAAAAAUCCGUUGGCAAAGCAGGAGACCCCAGUUCAAUUUCUGGGUCUGGAAGAUCUGCUGGAGAAGUGAAAGGCUUCCCUUGUGGCUCAGCUAGUAAAGAAUCCGCCUGCAAUGUGGGAGACCUGGAUUCGAUCCCUGGAUUGGGAAGAUCCCCUGGAGAAGGGAACGGCUACCCACUCCAGUAUUCUGACCUAGAGAAUUCCAUGGACGGUAUAGUCCGUGGGGUCGCAGAGUCAGACAUGACUGAGCGACUUUCACUUCACUUCACUUUCAGUUAUCUAUGGCUGUAUGAUACACAAGCCCCUGAGGCAGAACAAUUUAUGACUGUCUCUCACAGCUUGUACUUGACUGAGUUGGGUGAUUCUUGCUUGAGGUCUCUUGUGCAGGUAUGGUCAGAGGAGACUGAGAUUCUGAUUACCUGCAGGGUUACCUGACUGGACAUUUAUAUGAUUGGUAGUUGCUGGCUGGGAGCUCAGCUGUGAUUGUCAACAAGGGUUCUUGCCCACGUCCUGGCUGCAUGCCUUUGGGUUCUCAUCAGAAUUCUGUGACAGAGUAUUCCCACAGGGAGCAUCUGGCAAGUGAACAUCACAAGAGACCUAGAAGGAAGUGCCAAGGCUUCUAAUAUUCAGGCUUAGAAGUGUCAGAACAUCACUCUGCUAAAAUUUCUUGGUUGGGCAACGUAACAGACCAAUCCAGAUCCAAGGAGAGAGGGGUUAGACUCUAAUUUUAAAGUAUAUUAGGUUUGCAGUGUUGUAUCGGUUUCAAGUGUACAGGAAAGUGACUCAGAAUAUGUGUAUAUAUCCCCUACAUGGAUCACAGCCUUGUGGUGGUGAAGGGGCAUGGGCACCUCAAUGAAGCCCUGAGUCAUGCCAUGCAGGGCCACCCUGCAAGGAGAUGAAACCAGUCCAUCCUAAAGGAAGUCAACCCUGAAGGUUCAUUGGAAGGAUUGAUGCUGAAGCUGAAGCUGAAGCUCCAAUACUUAGGCCAUCUGAUGUGAAGAGCCAUCUCACUGGAAAAGACCCUGAUGUUGGGAAAGAUGGAGGGCAAAGAAGAAGCGGGUGGCAGAGGAUGAGAUGGUUAGACAGCAUCAAUGACUAAAUGGACAUGAAUUUGAGCAAACUCGGGAGAUAGUGAAGAACAGGGAAGCCUGGAAUGAUAUAGUCCGUGGGGUCACAAAGAGUCGGACAUGACUUAGAAAAUGAACAACUGAAUAGUAUGUGUGUGUGUGUGUGUGUGUAUCCUUUUCCAGAUUCUCUCCCCUUUUAGGUUAUUACAAAAUAUUCAUAUAGUUUCCUGUGCUAUACAGUAGAUCUUUCUUGGUUAUUUAUUUUAUAUAGUGUGUGUAUAUCAACCCUUAACUCAUAAUUUAAACCUCCCCCACCUUUCCCUUGUGGUAACUAUAAUUUUGUUUUCUGUGUCUAUGUGUCUAUUUCUGUUUAGUACAUAACUUCACUUGUAUCAUUUUUAAAAGAUUCCACAUACAAGCAAUAAAUCAUGUGAUAUUUGUCUUUCUCUUUCUGAC